AUUGAACGCUGGCGGCAUGCUUUACACAUGCAAGUCGAACGGCAGCACGGACUUCGGUCUGGUGGCGAGUGGCGAACGGGUGAGUAAUACAUCGGAACGUGCCCAGUUGUGGGGGAUAACUACUCGAAAGAGUAGCUAAUACCGCCUGAGAACUGAGGUUGAAAGCAGGGGAUCGUAAGACCUUGCGCAACUGGAGCGGCCGAUGGCAGAUUAGGUAGUUGGUGGGAGAAAAGCUUACCAAGCCGACGAUCUGUAGCUGGUCUGAGAGGACGACCUGCCACACUGGUAAUGAGACACGGCCCAGAUUCCUACGGGAGGCAGCAGUGGGGAAUUUUGGCCAAUGGGCGAAAGCCUGAUCCAGCAAUGCCGCGUGCAGGAUGAAGGCCUUCGGGUUGUAAACUGCUUUUGUACGGAACGAAAAGCUUCGGGUUAAUACCCUGGAGUCAUGACGGUACCGUAAGAAUAAGCACCGGCUAACUACGUGCCAGCCGCCGCGGUAAUAC
rnacentral:rRNA from 1 species